rnacentral:lncRNA from 1 species
GAUGGAUACCUGUAGAGUAUGAACAUGUAUGCGGCUCAAGAAGCUUCAGAUCCAAGAUCAUCAGUUGUGGUGUAUUUCAACCUGUGCAAGGUAUUAAGAUCCGAUCUCAAUUUUAAUUUUAAUUUUCAGAUUAUAUGUAUGUCUUAGAUCUAGGGCUUGGGUAGAUAUAAAUUAGAUCUAUAGUAUGUGGGAUUAAAAGGUUUAACCUAGAUCUGUUUUCACUACUG